rnacentral:rRNA from 1 species
CGAUAUCGACGAGUUUGAUCCUGGCUACAGAACGAACGCUGGCGGCAUGCCUAACACAUGCAAGUCGACCGAGACCUUCGGGUCUAGUGGCGCACGGGUGCGUAACGCGUGGGAAUCUGCCCUUUGCUUCGGAAUAACACAGAGAAAUUUGUGCUAAUACCGGAUAAUGUCGCAAGACCAAAGAUUUAUCGGCAAAGGAUGAGCCCGCGUAAGAUUAGGUAGUUGGUGGGGUAAUGGCCUACCAAGCCGACGAUCUUUAGCUGGUCUGAGAGGAUGAUCAGCCACACUGGGACUGAGACACGGCCCAGACUCCUACGGGAGGCAGCAGUGGGGAAUAUUGGACAAUGGGCGCAAGCCUGAUCCAGCAAUGCCGCGUGAGUGAUGAAGGCCUUAGGGUUGUAAAGCUCUUUUACCAGGGAUGAUAAUGACAGUACCUGGAGAAUAAGCUCCGGCUAACUCCGUG